ACUUAGGAAUCUACCUAGUAGUGGGGGAUAGCUCGGGGAAACUCGAAUUAAUACCGCAUACGUCCUACGGGAGAAAGGGGGCAACUUGUUGCUCUCGCUAUUAGAUGAGCCUAAGUCGGAUUAGCUAGAUGGUGGGGUAAAGGCCUACCAUGGCGACGAUCUGUAGCUGGUCUGAGAGGAUGAUCAGCCACACCGGGACUGAGACACGGCCCGGACUCCUACGGGAGGCAGCAGUGGGGAAUAUUGGACAAUGGGGGAAACCCUGAUCCAGCCAUGCCGCGUGUGUGAAGAAGGCCUUUUGGUUGUAAAGCACUUUAAGCAGUGAAGAAGACCUAACGGUUAAUACCCGUUAGCGAUGACAUUAGCUGCAGAAUAAGCACCGGCUAACUCUGUGC
rnacentral:rRNA from 1 species